rnacentral:rRNA from 1 species
UACAGAGGUCCCAAGCGUUGUUCGGAUUUACUGGGCGUAAAGGGUGCGUAGGUGGUUGGGUAAGUCUGAUGUGAAAUCUCCGGGCUCAACCCGGAAAUGGCAUUGGAUACUAUUCGGCUAGAGGUUUGGAGGGGGGACUGGAAUUCUCGGUGUAGCAGUGAAAUGCGUAGAUAUCGAGAGGAACACCAGUGGCGAAGGCGAGUCCCUGGACAACACCUGACACUGAGGCACGAAAGCUAGGGGAGCAAACAGG